UACGUAGGGGGCUAGCGUUGUCCGGAAUCAUUGGGCGUAAAGCGCGUGUAGGCGGUUCGGUACGUCCGUUGUGAAAGUCGGGGGCUCAACCCUCGGAUGCCGGUGGAUACUGUCGGACUAGAGUACGGAAGAGGCGAGUGGAAUUCCUGGUGUAGCGGUGAAAUGCGCAGAUAUCAGGAGGAACACCGAUUGCGAAGGCAGCUCGCUGGGACGUUACUGACGCUGAGACGCGAAAGCGUGGGGAGCAAACAGG
rnacentral:rRNA from 1 species